UACGAAGGGGGCUAGCGUUGUUCGGAAUCACUGGGCGUAAAGCGCACGCAGGCGGACUGUUAAGUCGGGGGUGAAAGCCCGGGGCUCAACCCCGGAACGGCCUUCGAUACUGGCAGUCUCGAGUCCGGGAGAGGUGAGUGGAAUUCCUAGUGUAGAGGUGAAAUUCGUAGAUAUUAGGAAGAACACCAGUGGCGAAGGCGACUCACUGGCCCGGUACUGACGCUCAGGUGCGAAAGCGUGGGGAG
rnacentral:rRNA from 1 species